GACGAACGCUGGCGGCGUGCUUAACACAUGCAAGUCGAACGGAAAGGCCCUGCUUUUGUGGGGUGCUCGAGUGGCGAACGGGUGAGUAACACGUGAGUAACCUGCCCUUGACUUUGGGAUAACUUCAGGAAACUGGGGCUAAUACCGGCUAGGAGCUCCUGCUGCAUGGUGGGGGUUGGAAAGUUUCGGCGGUUGGGGAUGGACUCGCGGCUUAUCAGCUUGUUGGUGGGGUAGUGGCUUACCAAGGCUUUGACGGGUAGCCGGCCUGGGAGGGUGACCGGCCACAUUGGGACUGAGAGACGGCCCAGACUCCUACGGGAGGCAGCAGUGGGGAAUAUUGCACAAUGGGCGGAAGCCUGAUGCAGCAACGCCGCGUGCGGGAUGACGGCCUUCGGGUUGUAAACCGCUUUCGCCUGUGACGAAGCGUGAGUGACGGUAAUGGGUAAAGAAGCACCGGCUAACUACGUG
rnacentral:rRNA from 1 species